AAAUAGGUCCCACACAUAAGUGCCGGUUUUAAGACAGGUGCCGGUCACGUCGGAUCAUUGAUUCGGUCUUAUUCUUUCUAUGAGAUGCAAAUGCUAGGUCAUGAUCUCUGGCUAUCCGAGCAAGAUGGAGGCAUGCGGCAUGGCCCACGUGAGUUCGACGAUCUCUACAACAGAAAAGGCAUCACUGACAUUCGCUACUUCACUAACUCAAAGAUGCACUUCGCCGAGGACUUCCUCAUGCCGACUCUCAACCUCUGCAUCACCAAUGCCUAUAUCUAGAAUGACAGAGCGACUGCGGCGACAUCAAUGGCUUCUUCAAAGCUCAUGUUAUUGCUUGAGCGAAUAA
rnacentral:lncRNA from 2 species